UUUGUUUACUAUGGGUUUGU
rnacentral:snRNA from 1 species